rnacentral:rRNA from 1 species
GUGCUUAACACAUGCAAGUCGAGCGGUAAGGCCCUUCGGGGUACACGAGCGGCGAACGGGUGAGUAACACGUGGGUGAUCUGCCUCGUACUCUGGGAUAAGCCUGGGAAACUGGGUCUAAUACCGGAUAUGACCACGAAUCGCAUGGUUUGUGGUGGAAAGAUUUAUCGGUGCGAGAUGGGCCCGCGGCCUAUCAGCUUGUUGGUGGGGUAAUGGCCUACCAAGGCGACGACGGGUAGCCGACCUGAGAGGGUGACCGGCCACACUGGGACUGAGACACGGCCCAGACUCCUACGGGAGGCAGCAGUGGGGAAUAUUGCACAAUGGGCGAAAGCCUGAUGCAGCGACGCCGCGUGAGGGAUGACGGCCUUCGGGUUGUAAACCUCUUUCGACAGGGACGAAGCGAAAGUGACGGUACCUGUAGAAGAAGCACCGGCCAACUACGUGCCAGCAGCCGCGGUAAUACGUAGGGUGCGAGCGUUGUCCGGAAUUACUGGGCGUAAAGAGCUUGUAGGCGGUUCGUCGCGUCGAUUGUGAAAACUUGCAGCUCAACUGCAAGCUUGCAGUCGAUACGGGCGGACUAGAGUACUGCAGGGGAGACUGGAAUUCCUGGUGUAGCGGUGAAAUGCGCAGAUAUCAGGAGGAACACCGGUGGCGAAGGCGGGUCUCUGGGCAGUAACUGACGCUGAGAAGCGAAAGCGUGGGU